rnacentral:rRNA from 1 species
CCUACGGGGGGCAGCAGUGAGGAAUAUUGGUCAAUGGCCGGAAGGCUGAACCAGCCAUGCCGCGUGAAGGGCAGCGACCUAUGGGCGUUAAACUUCUUUUGUGCGGGAGCAAUAAUGGUCACGUGUGGCCAGACGAGAGUACCGUACGAAUAAGCAUCGGCUAACUCCGUGCCAGCAGCCGCGGUAAUACGGGGGAUGCAAGCGUUAUCCGGAUUUAUUGGGUUUAAAGGGUGCGUAGGCUGUGAGGUAAGUCAGCGGUGAAAUGCCCCCGCGCAACGUGGGAACUGCCGUUGAAACUGGGAAACUGGAGUGUGUGAGAGGAUAGUGGAAUUCCAGGUGUAGGGGUGAAAUCCGUAGAUAUCUGGAGGAACAUCAGUGGCGAAGGCGACUAUCUGGCACAUAACUGACGCUGAGGAGCGAAAGCGUGGGUAGCAAACAGGAUUAGAUACCCGUGUAGUC